rnacentral:rRNA from 1 species
UACGUAGGGGGCAAGCGUUGUCCGGAUUUAUUGGGCGUAAAGAGCGUGUAGGCGGCCAUACAGGUCAGCUGUGAAAACUCGAGGCUCAACCUCGAGACGUCGGUUGAAACCGUAUGGCUAGAGUCCGGAAGAGGAGAGUGGAAUUCCCGGUGUAGCGGUGAAAUGCGCAGAUAUCAGGAAGAACACCUAUGGCGAAGGCAGCUCUCUGGGACGGUACUGACGCUGAGACGCGAAAGCGUGGGGAGCGAACAGG